AUUCACAACCUGGAUGAGUUCCUUGGUCUGGAGGAGAAACUGAAAGAGGAGAGCCAAAGGAAUUUGUUGGUGGAUUUCUUACAAAGGAUAGGGGAGGGAAUGUGGAGGACGCGGUUCGGAGAGCACUAGUCCGACUGGUUACUAAUGAAUUGGCCACAAACUUCAGCUGGGAAGGCAGGAAAGGGGAGAGGGCCUUAAACAGCCUUCUGAUUAUUAAAACCCUGGAGAAAGUUGUUGCUGCGUCGCAUACAGACUUUACCAGCAAGCUGUUUGAAAUACGGGUGAAGGAGUGGUUCCGACAGUCUGGAACCAGAAUUUAUAAUCUAAAAAAAUCUACAAAAAAUAAUACGUUUCACUGAAUUUAUUAUUUAAAUAAAUAUGUA